AUGAUGAUGAGUUCCAUUUCCAAGUACCUGUCACUGAGUGCAGCUGUGAUCUUGCUUCUAGUACUGACAGCCACAGAGGCUGAAGGCAUCCGGCUAGACGCAGAGACCCGGGAAUCCAUCAGCAGCGGCGGCGGCAACCCAGUGCUCAAUAAACCAAUUGACGAUGUGGCUAAGAGUUCUGCUGGAUCAGCAGGCGAGACGACGAGAACAGCCGGUGCUGUGAGCCAAGUUAAGGCGGUGGCCCAUGGAUUGCCAGAGUUCCAGGAAGACUAUUAUGUUCCAAGUGUUCACAGCCCUAGGCACCACUGA
rnacentral:rRNA from 1 species